GGCGCCCGGACUCGCCCCACGGCCUCGGGGAGCGCUUCGUGGCCCCAUUCCGGGACGCUCGGCGCAUCCCCAGCAUGGUCUUUUCUGGAGAGACUGCGGGUCAGAAAGAUGGCCAGUGGCGCAGGGAUCGGAAGGGACAGGCCUGGCACCCAGGUCUUUGAAAGCCCCAAGUGAGUGCAUCUGGGGGGACGGCCGCCAGGUACCCCAAUUUGCAUAUGUCUCCACUCUUCUGACACCCUCGUGACAGCGCUGCUGAAGAGCUGAAGUCUCCAAAACUGGCCAGGAGAGGGCAGAAAAAAUGGCCCGGGAAACGGGUGGUAGCCCUGGGACGUUUCCUAUGCUCCUCCGUACUGUGUGACCAGGCGUUCUUUAACCCCAGGAAGCUGGUCUGGUUUCCCUCCUAAGACACAGGGAGCUGAAGCAACAUCACCAGCAUGUAUGCACCUCAAGAUGAUUUGUUCAGUGCUCCUUGAUUGUCUUUCUCUACCAUACAAUAAGGCUGUUGAGGACACAGGCCAUCUGUCUCUCGUCACCACUGAAUCCUGACCCUUCGAACAGUGCCUGGCACAAAGCAGAUGUUCAUCAUUUGUUCAAUGGUGAAAUGGAGGCACCCACUGGCUUCAACUUAUGCCAAGUGGCAGAGCUGACUGCGCGGCUGGAGCUCUCAGCUCCCCCCAUGAGCAUCUGCGAAGCGCAGGAUCUCUCCCCGGGGAGAUCAAAGCAGAGCUCCAGGGUGCGUAAUGAUGGCCCCCCCCUAAGAAGUGGUUCUGGGGUGUGGUGCAGAAGACUCCGUCCUCUCAGUGGCCACCACAACUUUGCAGACCCCACGCCAGGGUGCAGCUGCUGGGGCGAGCAAACAGUCGAGAGCCCCAGGGGCGUGCAGGAGAUCGAGCCCAGGACUGAAAAUGACUGCUUUCCUGCACAUCAUUCCUCAUGGCCCAGACCCAAGUUCCCAGGCCUCAGCUACCGGCAGCAGGUACCCUGAAACCCAGGCGGAAGGCUUUGACCUAUAUCAGGUCAGAGGCCGGCAUUCAUCUGGAGGCUCGCCGAGGUCAAGGGGCUCUACGAAAGGGCUACCAGGGCUGAGAGGGGACACAUCACCAGGGGUAGCCACAGUCCAACGUCUCCAGGUGCCCUGACCCUCAGCUGGCAAGCUGCCUCCCUGGUCCCACCUGCAAACCUUACCUAGUGGAACAUUCUAUGUUCCUUGUUGUUGGGAUCCUGAGCCCCUCAUUCAGCACACAUUCUCAGAUGCCCCUCUGAUGACGCUGUCCCCCCAGAGCUGGGAGACCUGGGUCUCCGAGAAGGAAACUGACAAGCUGUCAAUGACACAUCAACCUAGUGAGGGGCUGGGGAUAGAACCAGCACCUCCUGAUCUGCAGAGCAGGGCUCCUUUCACUGCCUUCGGAGGGAAGCAGGUGUUCUCAGCCGCAAAUCCAAACUCAUUGUCAGCUGAAGGCUUUUUGUAUCACUCCUGGGAGCGAGGGGGAGUCUGGGAGAUGUAAUCAGGAUGCUGAAGCAUUGGAAGUUCUGGGAUAUUUUGAUGGUUCUUAGGGGCAAGGAUACAGGGUCAUUCAUCCAAUCAAUCGUCAUGAAGUAGUCAGUACGUGCAGUGCACUCAGUGCUAGGGUACCAGUCCCUACCCUCUUCAGGUCUUUUGACACUGGGAUCACUCUGCGAGCUGUGUCAUGGCCAGCCUAUAACACCAUUGCUUUCUUUUUCCCUUCUAGGGACUUAGUCCCUAGGGACUUAGUCAUAUGAGCGGCUUGCCCAGCUGCAUGAGCACACACACGCACAUGUGCCCCAGCUGUUCCCUCCAAGCGAGAGGUUCUGACUUUGGCCUGAAACGUCUUGCUCCUUUUACCAAAUCACCAAGGCCUUGUCUGCUCUCCCUUGUUCUGCUCUGACUUCCUGACGCCAUCUGGUUCUCAGUUCCCUGUCCCCAGCUCCAACCUGCUGACCAGUGUUGACACGGGAUGCUUUGCUUUGGCUUCCGGGCCCUGGACUGCAUCUUACUCUAGCUGCACGGGCACUCCUGAGAAAGGGCCCAGUUCUGCCCCUGUGAGGGACCAUCAGCAAAUCUGAGGCUCACCCUGAUCCCUGACUUGUGCCAACUCCGGCUUCUGCCUCUCAUUCUGCUCAGGAAAACUCAAGUGUUCGAGUUAGAUGGCUUCAACGGAUUCUCACCCUCUGUAGAAUAACAGCCCCAUUUUCCUUCCUGUAGCAAUUGUGGUAUGCCUUUGCUUUCAGAGAUGUAGCAAGAAUGGCAUAAAGGGGGCACUGAGAGGUCAGUUCAUGUGAGUGAUGGAUUCUUGCUUUUACCUGUGCUCACCUGAAGUCCUUCCUCACUCCUGGGUACCAUUUAUUAAGCCCCGUGUCAAGUGCUUUACAUACAUAAUCUCCUCUAGUUCUCUCUUAACAACCCAACGGAGUAGGAGCGAUUAACAUCUCCAUGGACUGGACAUCGUGGGUGUGUUCUCAACACCUGUGCAGCCCCCGAGGUGAAGCUGCCACGCAGUUUGUAGGAUCUGACCCUGGCCAGCUCCAGGGAGGAGCCCUGGUUAGUUUAAGCAAGUGGUUGUCACAGUGUGUUCCGAGGACCACUGGGGUCCCUGGGACCCUUCCCAGAAGUCUGUGAGGGCUCCACUUCCCAAAGCACAUUUCUGCAUGAGGCUGGACGAUCUUCAUAAACUACAACCCACACAACAUAUUGCAACAGCCUGAGUGCAGAAGCAGCACUCAGGUAUGAGAAACCUGCUAUCUUCUGUGGAGCCAGAUUUUAAAGAGAAUUUGCCAAAGUGUAAAAUAAUGCCACCCGUUUCAGUAACUUUUUUUUUUUUUUUUUGCUUUGGGAAGUAUAGUUAUUAUUCAUAAAAUAUGUUAUUUAUACUAACACAUGUAAUGGGUUUAUUGUUAUUUUUAAAAUGAAUAAAUAUUUAAUCUUUUUCAGUUUUAAUUUCUACCUGGUGACAUGAAUAAGUAGAAUCCAUAGAAACAAUAGCUUGUAGGAGACCUCCCUAAGUUUUUGUGUUUUUUUUUUUUAAGAUUGUAUUUAUUUAUUUGAGAGACAGAGAAUGAGAAGUAGCACAAGAGGGAAAAGGGUCAGAGGGAGAAGCAGACUCCCCGCCGAGCAGGGAGCCCGAUGCGGGACUCGAUCCCGGGACUCCAGGAUCAUGACCUGAGCCGAGGGCAGUCGCCUAACCAACUGACCCACCCAGGCACCCCAAACCUCCCUUAGUAUUAAACAUGUUCUGGGGGGGUCCUGAGAACAAAAGUCUGAGAACCGCCGCCUGGGUCAAUCAUGAUAUUCUGAUAACUCUUGCCAGUGAUUGGUUCAGGAGUUCAGGCCUAAGCCAAUCAGCAUGUGGUCUUCCCUUGGUGACAGCUAUUGGUUGGAGAAUGGGCAUGUGACCCAAUUUGGACCAGUGAGAGGGCUGGAAUGGUUUGCUAUGCACUGUCAGGGAAGUUUGUCCCGAUUCUCUGGAUGUUAGGAGCAAUGCCUUGUCUUUCUCUGAUGUUAUUGUGAGCAGAUGUGGCAUCAGAACUUAAGCAGUUGGCUGACAUCCAGCUGAGGAGGGAGCUGAACCCAGAGAAGGGCAGAGCCAAGAGAAAUCACCAAGAAUGGAGACGGAGCUUUGGAUCAAGUUGACCUACAUCUUCAAGUGCAAUGUCAUGACUUA